rnacentral:rRNA from 1 species
GAUGAACGCUAGCUACAGGCUUAACACAUGCAAGUCGAGGGGAAACGACAUCGAAAGCUUGCUUUUGAUGGGCGUCGACCGGCGCACGGGUGAGUAACGCGUAUCCAACCUGCCCAUCACUUGGGGAUAACCUUGCGAAAGUAAGACUAAUACCCAAUGAUAUCUCUAGAAGACAUCUGAAAGAGAUUAAAGAUUUAUCGGUGAUGGAUGGGGAUGCGUCUGAUUAGCUUGUUGGCGGGGUAACGGCCCACCAAGGCAACGAUCAGUAGGGGUUCUGAGAGGAAGGUCCCCCACAUUGGAACUGAGACACGGUCCAAACUCCUACGGGAGGAAGCAGUGAGGAAUAUUGGUAAAUGGGCGAGAGCCUGAACCAGCCAAGUAGCGUGCAGGAAGACGGCCCUAUGGGUUGUAAACUGCUUUUAUAAGGGAAUAAAGUGAGAGUCGUGACUCUUUUUGUAUGUACCUUAUGAAUAAGGACCGGCUAAUUCCGUG